AUGGCCGCCGACACGCCUUCCGACGACCCGCUUUCCGGUGGCGGGGACAGCGCCUGCUCCACGCCGUUCGUCAGCGCGCCCUCCAGCCCCACCCGCGACCCCUUCUCCGGCCACCACCACGCCGCGUGCUUCUUCAGCGCGCCGGCGAGCCCCACCCGCGGCGCCAGCAAAGAGUUUGCCUGCGGCGGCCUCGACUUUGACUUCGACUUCGACUUCUCGUCCCGCUUCCCGUCGCCCUCCGCCGCCGCCAUGUCGUCCGCCGACGAGCUCUUCCACAACGGCCAGAUCCGCCUCUCCGCGAUGCUGCUCCAGCCGCACCAGCCUCACCUCGCCUCGCCUUCACAGGCCCCCGUGGAGGUGGAAGAGGGCGAGCGCGGCCGCUUCAGGGGCCGGUCCGUGCACCGCAAGGCGCGCUCGCUCUCCCCAUUCCGUGCCCACUGGAGGUCACCAUCUGCCGCGCCGCCGCCGGAGUCCGAGUCCGUCGAGCCGGCGGCCACGCCCCCGGCCUCGCGCUCCUCGUCGUCCUCGUCCACCGCUUCGUCCGCGUCCUCCUCUUCCUCCAGGAGCUCCCGGCGUUGGGGCUUCAUUAAGGAUCUCCUCCACCGGAGCAAGUCAGACGGCGGCAAGGACAGCCAGCACCCUGCCGCUCCGGCUCCCCCGACUUUCUCUGCAACGCCAAAGAGGAGCCCAUCUCCUUCUCCAUCGCCGGCGGCGGCCAGAUGUAGAGGGGCAGGGAGGGGCAGGCGGAGGUCGGCGCAUGAGAGGCUCUACGAGGCGAGAAGGGCGGAGGCGGAAGAGAUGCGACGGCGCACGUACCUGCCCUACCGGCAGGGCGGGCUGCUGCUCUUCGGUUGCAUCGGCCUCGGCAACCGCAGCUAUGGCACCGCCGUCCACGGCCUUGCUCGGGGUCUCAACACCGCCACCGCCACCGCCACGGCCGUCUCUUCAAGGUCAUGA
rnacentral:rRNA from 1 species